rnacentral:rRNA from 1 species
GUGAGGAAUAUUGGGCAAUGGGCGAAAGCCUGACCCAGCAACGCCGCGUGAAGGAAGAAGGUUUUCGGAUCGUAAACUUCUAUCCUUGGUGAAGAUAAUGACGGUAGCCAAGAAGGAAGCCCCGGCUAACUACGUGCCAGCAGCCGCGGUAAUACGUAGGGGGCAAGCGUUGUCCGGAAUGAUUGGGCGUAAAGGGCGCGUAGGCGGCCCGGUAAGUCUGAAGUGAAAGUCCUGCUUUUAAGGUGGGAAUUGCUUUGGAUACUGUCGGGCUUGAGUGCAGGAGAGGUAAGCGGAAUUCCCGGUGUAGCGGUGAAAUGCGUAGAGAUCGGGAGGAACACCAGUGGCGAAGGCGGCUUACUGGACUGUAACUGACGCUGAGGCGCGAAAGUGUGGGGAGCAAACAGGAUUAGAUACCCUAGUAGUCC